rnacentral:rRNA from 1 species
CCUACGGGAGGCAGCAGUGAGGAAUAUUGGUCAAUGGACGAAAGUCUGAACCAGCCAAGUAGCGUGCAGGAUGACUGCCCUAUGGGUUGUAAACUUCUUUUAUAUGGGAAUAAAACACGGCACGCGUACCCUUUUGUAUGUACCGUAUGAAUAAGGAUCGGCUAACUCCGUGCCAGCAGCCGCGGUAAUACGGAGGAUCCGGGCGUUAUCCGGAUUUAUUGGGUUUAAAGGGAGCGUAGGUGGAUUGUUAAGCCAGUUGUGAAAGUUUGCGGCUCAACCGUAAAAUUGCAGUUGAAACUGGCAGUCGUGAGUACAGUAGAGGUGGGCGGAAUUCGUGGUGUAGCGGUGAAAUGCUUAGAUAUCACGAAGAACUCCGAUUGCGAAGGCAGCUCACUGGACUGCAACUGACACUGAUGCUCGAAAGUGUGGGUAUCAAACAGGAUUAGAUACCCUUGUAGUC